UACGUAGGGUGCGAGCGUUAAUCGGAAUUACUGGGCGUAAAGUGUGCGCAGGCGGCGUCGCAAGUCGAGUGUGAAAUCCCCGAGCUUAACUUGGGAAUUGCGCUCGAAACUACGAGGCUCGAGUGUGGCAGAGGGGGGUGGAAUUCCACGUGUAGCGGUGGAAUUCGUACAGAUGUGGAGGAACACCAAUGGCGAAGGCAGCCCCCUGGGCCAACACUGACGCUCAUGCACGAAAGCGUGGGGAGCAAACAGG
rnacentral:rRNA from 1 species